rnacentral:rRNA from 1 species
ACCUCUUCGGAGCAAAGCGUGGGAUCUUCGGACCACGUGCCAAAGGAUGAGCCCAUGUCUGAUUAGCUAGUUGGUGAGGUAAUGGCUCACCAAGGCGACGAUCAGUAGCCGGCCUGAGAGGGUGGACGGCCACACUGGGACUGAGACACGGCCCAGACUCCUACGGGAGGCAGCAGUGGGGAAUAUUGGACAAUGGGGGCAACCCUGAUCCAGCAAUGCCGCGUGUGUGAAGAAGGCCUGCGGGUUGUAAAGCACUUUUGUUGAGGAAGAAUGUGUUUGGGCUAAUAGUCCAAAUGCUUGACGUUACUCAAAGAAAAGCACCGGCUAACUCCGUG